UGCGGGGGGAGCAAGCGUUGUUCGGAUUUACUGGGCGUAAAGGGCGCGUAGGCGGUCAGCACAAGUCAGUUGUGAAAUCUCCGGGCUUAACUCGGAAAGGUCAACUGAUACUGUGCGACUAGAGUGCAGAAGGGGCAACUGGAAUUCUCGGUGUAGCGGUGAAAUGCGUAGAUAUCGAGAGGAACACCUGCGGCGAAGGCGGGUUGCUGGGCCGAUACUGACGCUGAGGAGCGAAAGCGUGGGGAGCGAACAGG
rnacentral:rRNA from 1 species